rnacentral:rRNA from 1 species
CACGUAGGCGGAUUGUUAAGUCAGGGGUGAAAUCCUGGAGCUCAACUCCAGAACUGCCUUUGAUACUGACGGUCUUGAGUUCGGGAGAGGUGAGUGGAACUGCGAGUGUAGAGGUGAAAUUCGUAGAUAUUCGCAAGAACACCAGUGGCGAAGGCGGCUCACUGGCCCGAUACUGACGCUGAGGUGCGAAAGCGUGGGGAGCAAACA